CCACUGACAGGGUGCAGAAUAGAAGGAUCAAUCCCAAGGAGCAGAAGAGAAGGACCUAAGCCAAGUGGUAAAGAAGAAGGGCCCAUCCUAAGGAGCAAAGGUGAAGGACCCAACCCGAGGAGCAGAGGAGAAGGACCCAUCCUACGGAACAGAAGAGGUGGACCAAUUCCUAUGAGCAGCAGAGAAGGACCCAUCUUAAGGAUUAGAAGAGAAGAAACCAUCCUAAGGACCAGAAGAGAAUGACUCAUCCCAAGGAGAAGAAGAGAGGACCUCUCAAAGAGCAGACUAGAAGGACCCAUCCAGAGAAACAGAAGAGAAGGACCCAUCCCAAGGAGUAGAAGAGGACCCAGUUAAUUAUCUGCGGCAGAAGCAACCUUGGCCGACCUAGAUUCCUUAUUGAGGAGUAGUAUGUCUUGAACUCAACUGCAGCAAUCAUUGGAAGAUGCAGAAUAUUUAGGCUGGGAUAUUGGUCAUAGAGGUACUAAGUCCAGUCAACAGAAGAUGGAGAGUCCAUUGCCCAGCUAUGACCAGCAGAAAAUAUUGGCCAAUGUGGAGAAUGGUUUAGCAAGUUUCAAUCCCAGUGUAAGAUACGACUCCAGUAUUUGUCAGCAGGAGCUUUAAGAUAAGGGAUCGAUUGUUGCAAACCAUGGACAAAAGGUUUAAGAUAAACCUCUAUCCAGAAUCCUUAAGAGAAGAAUCUCACCUGAAAGCAAGAGUGCUGAGCGUUUCGGG